rnacentral:tRNA from 1 species
GCCGCGGUAGCUCAGUUGCUAGAGCAUCGGACGCGAUAUUCGAAGGUCGCAGGUUCGGUCCCUGCCCGCGGCA